UUUUGUUAUUCCACUCGUGAUGUUGUGUUUCUCGUUUGAAUAUUUCUUAUCGUGAAAAAACUUGCCUCAAACUUGUUGAAAUUGGCAGCAAAAUUGAUUUUGCCUCAAUCUGGUACUGUUUGCUUCAUAUUUGUAUAUUUGUAAGUAUUUUGUUUGAUAUUUUUAUCUAGUUGAUUGUAUUUUGUUAUUUCACUCGUGAUGUUGUGUUUCUCGUUUGAAUAUUUCUUAUCGUGAAAAAACUUACCUCAAACUUGUUGAAAUAGGCGCUAGAAUUGAGCUCAACCUGGUACUGGUUG
rnacentral:lncRNA from 1 species